rnacentral:rRNA from 1 species
ACCGCGAGCCCAGGUCAGUCGGGACUACCCGCUGAGUUUA